AGUGAACGCUGGCGGUAGGCCUAACACAUGCAGGUCGAACGGCAGCACAGUAAGAGCUUGCUCUUACGGGUGGCGAGUGGCGGACGGGUGAGGAAUACAUCGGAAUCUACUUUUUCGUGGGGGAUAACGUAGGGAAACUUACGCUAAUACCGCAUACGACCUACGGGUGAAAGCAGGGGAUCUUCGGACCUUGCGCGAUUGAAUGAGCCGAUGUCGGAUUAGCUAGUUGGCGGGGUAAAGGCCCACCAAGGCGACGAUCCGUAGCUGGUCUGAGAGGAUGAUCAGCCACACUGGAACUGAGACACGGUCCAGACUCCUACGGGAGGCAGCAGUGGGGAAUAUUGGACAAUGGGCGCAAGCCUGAUCCAGCCAUACCGCGUGGGUGAAGAAGGCCUUCGGGUUGUAAAGCCCUUUUGUUGGGAAAGAAAAGCAGCAGGUUAAUACCCCGCUGUUCUGACGGUACCCAAAGAGUAAGCACCGGCUAACUUCGUG
rnacentral:rRNA from 1 species